GACACUUCUGCAGCCUGCAGUGCUGGCAGCGGUUCCGGCUGGUGCGGUCAAUCAGGCAGUUCUUCUGACGCGGGCAUGAGUACGCCGCAUUGCUCUGCUGACUCCUCCUGAAGAAACCCUACAGGCCCGAGAGAAGAUCUUGCAGGGAAUUAUUUCGAUUUGAGCUGCGGAGAAAGAAAAGAGAGAAGAUACUGUCAGGAUUUUUCACUGUCACCAGUCACCGCGCAACACCUCCUCCACGGCUGCAUGUUGCGACAUGAAACGGAGCCGAGCUUCAAACGCUUCACGUCCCUGCCACCCUCGGCUGCGGCGUGUUUGGAGGAGGCCAUCCUGACUUUAAACAGAAAACCCUCAAAAAGCACAGAAAACGUGAUGUCAGCCCAUGAUUUAGAAACAAAUGCGAUCGUAAUAAAGCGCCACCGUUCCCCGCAGAGCCUUUGGGCAGCAUUGUCAGGACAAAUCCAACUCUUUACCACAUGACUGGACCUUUCCACAAGUGGAAUAUUGGUUCAAAACUGCCUGUUCAAUUUAAAAACCGCUAAAACCAAAUAGACAGUUUUACCACCAUGAGGCCUAGUGUUGACACAAAGAGAAGAUGACGAUGGUAAUAAGAAGGCAAGAGUAUUUGUUGAGGAAAAACACCACAUCUCUAGAGCUAUAAAGUUUAGAGUGAACAGGGCCUUUUUUCCGACAUUUAAAGGGGUAUUUACCCCAUUAUUUACCCAUUAUAUACCCCAUUAUACCAUUGCCAUUGGGAAACAAUGUGGCUUUAAUUUUGGUAGAACACAAAAUUAGAUGUUUAGCAGAAUGUUCAUGCUGCUCUUUUUAAUGCAAUGACAGUAAAUGGUGACCAGGAGCAGUCAAGGUAUGAAUAAAUAUUAAUGAGAAAAAAUACUAUUUUCAUCCAAAGCAACUUAAGUCAUUUACUGAAACUCUCGAACGUUUUUAAUGAUAUUAAUAUUUUUGCAUAUUAAAUGUUUGGCAGCCAUGAUUGGUUUUGAGACUCGAGAACCCCUAGCAUUGGGCAUUAUUAAUGUCAACCCUAGCGUGACAUAAUUUGACACACCAUAUCUAAAUACACAUGAAUAUUAAUAAGAUAUGAGAGCGGAAGAGAAAAUGUAUUCUCAUGACUAAUACGCAUAACUUCAGAGAAGUUAGAAUAUACUGUAGCAAGUUUUAUGGAGCUUUUUAUGAGCUUAAUAGCCCAUAGCGCCCAUUUACCUACAUUGUAUGAAAAAGAGCAGCGUUAACAUUCUUUCGAAAAAUCUCAUUUUGAGUUCCACGAGAGCUGUACAGGCUUGGACCAACAUGAUUGAAUAAAAGAUGACAGAACUCCUA